rnacentral:rRNA from 1 species
UACAGAGGGUGCGAGCGUUGUCCGGAAUCACUGGGCGUAAAGGGCGCGUAGGCGGCUUUUCAAGCGGUGCGGUGAAAGCUCGGGGCUUAACCUCCGAGUCUGCCGUGCGAACUGGGAGGCUUGAGUCUGGUAGAGGUCGAUGGAAUUCCGGGUGUAGCGGUGGAAUGCGUAGAGAUCCGGAAGAACACCGGUGGCGAAGGCGGUCGACUGGGCCAGUACUGACGCUGAGGCGCGACAGCGUGGGGAGCAAACAGG